rnacentral:rRNA from 1 species
AGAGUUUGAUCCUGGCUCAGAUUGAACGCUGAUGCUUUACACUGCAAGUCGAACGGCAGCACGGAGAGCUUGCUCUCUGGUGGCGAGUGGCGAACGGGUGAGUAAUAUAUCGGAACGUGUCCAAUAAUGGGGGAUAACGAGUCGAAAGAUUCGCUAAUACCGCAUACGCCCUACGGGGGAAAGCAGGGGAUCGUAAGACCUUGCGUUAAUGGAGCGGCCGAUAUCUGAUUAGCUUGUUGGUGAGGUAAAGGCUCACCAAGGCGACGAUCAGUAGCUGGUUUGAGAGAACGACCAGCCACACUGGAACUGAGACACGGUCCAGACUCCUACGGGAGGCAGCAGUGGGGAAUUUUGGACAAUGGGGGCAACCCUGAUCCAGCCAUUCCGCGUGAGUGAAGAAGGCCUUCGGGUUGUAAAGCUCUUUCGCAAGGGAAGAAAACUUAUGAUCGAAUAAAUCAUGAGGUUGACGGUACCUUGAUAAGAAGCACCGGCUAACUACGUGCCAGCAGCCGCGGUAAUACGUAGGGUGCGAGCGUUAAUCGGAAUUACUGGGCGUAAAGCGUGCGCAGGCGGUUUUGUAAGUCGGAUGUGAAAUCCCCGGGCUCAACCUGGGAACUGCGUUCGAAACUGCAAGGCUAGAGUGUGUCAGAGGGGGGUAGAAUUCCACGUGUAGCAGUGAAAUGCGUAGAGAUGUGGAGGAAUACCAAUGGCGAAGGCAGCCCCCUGGGAUAACACUGACGCUCAUGCACGAAAGCGUGGGGAGCAAACAGGAUUAGAUACCCUGGUAGUCCACGCCCUAAACGAUGUCAACUAGUUGUUGGUAGAGUAAAAUCUAUGAGUAACGUAGCUAACGCGUGAAGUUGACCGCCUGGGGAGUACGGUCGCAAGAUUAAAACUCAAAGGAAUUGACGGGGGCCCGCACAGCGGUGGAUUAUGUGGAUUAUUCGAUGCACGCGAAAA